CAGGUCUGUAUAUGUGUGUGUGUGUGUGUGUGUGUGUAUGUAUGUACACACACACACACACACACACACACACACAACCACACAACCACAUAU
rnacentral:miRNA from 1 species